GCCACCGCACCCUGCCGAUGCCUCAGUUUUCUUAUCUGUAAAGCAAGGAUGAUGGCACCCAACUCCUGUGGGUGACUGUAGUAAAGGCUAAAUGAGAUCAUAGGAAUCAGGCAUUUCGUGCAAAGCAUGGGGCCAGCUCCACGAGGCAUGAGCUUUGUUUCAUCUCUCCUGUGCAGUGCUAUAGAUCAGGUCCUGGUUCAUAGGAAUUGCUCAAUCAAAUAUUUUGGAGAGAAAAGUUAAUAAAUAAACAUAUCAGUGGCUCAGGUAAUGUCAGUUCCUUCUCUAGGCAAGACCUAAUCCAUCUACCUUGUUUUACAGAUGGGAAGAUAAGACCCAGAAAACAGAAAGGACAUGUUUAAGGCCAUGCAGCAAGUUAGUGCCUGACCUGAAUAUUGAAGUGAGGCCCUACUACCAUCAGCCAUGGGAACCAUGGCUGGAUGGGUCCCAAGCAAUGAAGACCUUCUGGGUGUCUAGGGGAGAGGUUUGGGCCCUCCUCCAUGUGCGUGUGUGUGUGCGCGUGCAAGUGUGUGUGUCUGGGAAGCCAGAAGAUUACACUCUUCUUUCUAGGCCUUCUAGCCCUUGCUGGAAGGCCUGUAGUGAGUGGAUGGCCUGCCUUACCCUCUGCACAUCCCGCCCUGUUUAUUGAGAUUUCCAUCCAGCCUGAACUCCUGUGGGGAGGUGUUAUCUUCUGGACCAGAGCCCUAUCUGCCAUGAAGCCAUUGUGGUGUCACAGGGGCUUCUGAGAGAUCCCAGGCUGGAGACGGAAAGCAGAAGAUUUGAAGUGGUGGGAGGCAGGGGCUGGUGUCAUAACACACUUUCCACCCCUGGGCUGGGAGGGGCACUCCCUCCUGCUGAACUCUCCCAGGCCAGUGACCUCAUCUUGCUCCUGUGCUUGUUUUCCAAAGGGUGUUGUAAGUUGACUGUCUGCUUUCUUCCACAACACUCAAAGUGUGGCCUGUGGAGCAACAGCUUCAGCCACAGCUGGGAGCUGGUUAGAAGUGCAACAUCUCAGGCCCCACCCUAGAACAUUAACAUCUCUGGAGAGAAGAAUAUUGAGGAUCAAAGAGACCAAGACUGCAAGCGUAAAAACUAAGAUUGGAACCAAAGCCAGUUCUUCUUGAUCCCAGGGUCUGCGCCCUUCUUCUGUUCCAUGUUUCAUUGUUCUUGGUGGACCUGGGGAUCAAUAGCUAGAAGUUAAAGGACAAACUGAUUUGGGAAGUGCUUCCAGUGCUGUCUUGAGUGAUGUCUAGAGAUUAGCAGACUGGCUGUGAAGUGGUGAGCUGCCCAUCACUGGAACCGUGCAAGCAGAGACUGGUCAUGGUGAUCACGGUGUUGGUCCUGUGUGAGUGUGAUGUGGGGAAGAAUUGAGACCAGAUGACCUUUGAGGGCCUUCUGCUGUCUGAGGCGGGCCUGCUUGGGCCUGCUCCCAGGUCAGUGCCCCAUGGAUGGAGCCUCUGAAGCCAGCUGCUCAUUAUCUGUGGAUCCUCUGCGGGGACACUGCCAGCUCCCAAACAGGAAACAUGUCCAGAAAUCUGUAAUUAGAGCUGGGAGCCACAGGCCUGAGAGGUGCCUGCUGCAGCUUCAAGUGCAGACACGCCACCCUGGUUAAGUCCCUGGGAGAGAACCCAGUGAGUCAGGCCCUCAGAUCUUCUCCCUGCCUGUGGCACCCCCGCCCCACCCCAUUCCCCUUGGAAGGAAACCUGCUUUGGCCAGGAACCUACUGGGUGAAUGGGUUUCAUAUACAUUCUCUCCUCUGUUCUUCCCCAGAACCGUGGGAGAGAGGAAACAUCUGCCAUGAUGCAGGCAAGGAAUGCAAAGCUCCCAGACAUCAUGUGGCUCACUCAAGGUCACCCUACUAUGGCCCUUGCCUUUCUGAGUGCCUGGUUUGACCUCUUGAUCCCUCCAGGGGAGAACGUCACAGUCAAAGGAGGGGUGCAAGAGGCCAGUGGCACACAGAGAGGUCUGUGUGGGCCUGAGUGGCUCCUGGGUCUUCCCUGACUGACCAUAACGCCUUUCAGCCUUUCUGAAUCUGCCAUGAAGGGACGGGUCCUUGCAGUGUUCCUCUGCCAGGCUGCCUGGCAACCCAUGGCAAUUGUGGUGGUGUUAAAACAUGGCCACAGGCCAGGCACGGUGGCUCAUGCCUGUAAUUCCAGCACUUUGCAUAGGGUAUGGCAGAAGAGACCCUAAGUGAGUAAAGACCAUGCCCCUGCAAAUUAUACUUUGUUUGCUGGAACACUCACUCUUGGAGCCCUGAGCCACCAUGUAAAGAAGUAGGAAGAUUCACUGUCCUGAAGCUGCCAUGUUGUGAGGAAGCCCAAGCCACAUGGAGGGGCCAUGUCUAGGUGCUCCAGUCAACAGUCCCAGCUGAGCUUAGCCAUCUAACAUCCCCAGCUAUUUUAGUUUUUCCUGAAAUCCCAGAAAUCAUGGAAUAGAGACAAAUCUCUCCUGCUGUGCUCUGUCUGAACUGCUGACCCACAGAAUCUGGGCACAUAAUAAAAUUAUUUUGUGCCAUUA